rnacentral:rRNA from 1 species
GGACGAACGCUGGCGGCGUGCUUAACACAUGCAAGUCGAGCGGUAAGGCCCUUUCGGGGGUACACGAGCGGCGAACGGGUGAGUAACACGUGGGUGACCUGCCCUCAGCUCUGGGAUAAGCCCGGGAAACUGGGUCUAAUACCGGAUAUGACUCCAUGACGCAUGUUGUGGGGUGGAAAGCCUUGUGCGGCUGAGGAUGGGCCCGCGGCCUAUCAGCUUGUUGGUGGGGUGAUGGCCUACCAAGCGACGACGGGUAGCCGGCCUGAGAGGGCGACCGGCCACACUGGGACUGAGAUACGGCCCAGACUCCUACGGGAGGCAGCAGUGGGGAAUCUUGCGCAAAUGGGCGAAAGCCUGACGCAGCGACGCCGCGUGA